rnacentral:rRNA from 1 species
AGCAGCCGCGGUAAUUCCAGCUCCAAUAGCGUAUAUUAAAGUUGUUGCAGUUAAAAGCUCGUAGUUGAAUUUCGGGAUUGACACAUCGGUCGUGCCUUAAGGGGUAUGAACUGGUGUAGUCAAUUUCUCACCUUCUGGAGAACCGCGAUGCCCUUAAUUGGGUGUCGCGGGGAACCAGGACCUUUACUUUGAAAAAUUAGAGUGUUUAAAGCAGGCAUUUUGCUUGAAUACAUUAGCAUGGAAUAAUAAAAUAGGACGGCAUGAUUCUAUUUUGUUGGUUUCUAGGAUCACCGUAAUGAUUAAUAGAGAUAGUUGGGGGCAUUAGUAUUCAAUUGUCAGAGGUGAAAUUCUUGGAUUUAUUGAAGACUAACUACUGCGAAAGCAUUUGCCAAGGAUGUUUUCAUUAAUCAAGAACGAAAGUUAGGGGAUCGAAGACGAUCAGAUACCGUCGUAGUCUUAACCAUAAACUAUGCCGACUAGGAAUCAGACGAUGUUAAUUUUUAAUGACUCGUUUGGCACC